CAAAUUAUUCUUAGGGAGUUUUUCAUUUACACUGAAGAAUAUUUCGUGCAAUUCGAUAUAGUUUGA
rnacentral:tRNA from 1 species